rnacentral:rRNA from 1 species
CGGCAGAAGGGUGAGUAAUGCAUCGGAACAUGCCCUGAAGUGGGGAAUACCCAGCCGAAAGGCUGGCUAAUACCGCAUAUGACCUCCGGGUCAAAGCUUUAUGUGCUUCAGGAUUGGCCGAUGUCCCAUCAGCUAGUUGGUAGGGUAAUGGCCUACCAAGGCGACGACGGGUAGCUGGUCUGAGAGGAUGGUCAGCCACAAGGGAACUGAGACACGGUCCCU